rnacentral:lncRNA from 1 species
CUUUUUUUCUGAAUAUUGGAUUUUUACUAAUAAAGCAUUGGAACAUGUAGGCAGUUUACUAACUAGCCGCUACCUUGUCAGUCUGUCUGGAAUAGUUUGGUUUUUUUAAUCCUUCUUCCCUUGAGCUGCUUAUGUUAUAGCUUCUAUAUUAGGUAAAGACAUAUAUAAUUCAAAAGACAUCAUUAGAAAACUGAAUAUAAACACUUUUG